GUGAGGAAUAUUGCGCAAUGGAGGCAACUCUGACGCAGCCAUGCCGCGUGCAGGAAGAAGGCGCUACGCGUUGUAAACUGCUUUUAACCGGGAAGAAACCCCAGGACGUGUCCUGGGUUGACGGUACCGGAGGAAUAAGCACCGGCUAACUUCGUGCCAGCAGCCGCGGUAAUACGAAGGGUGCAAGCGUUAUCCGGAUUCAUUGGGUUUAAAGGGUGCGUAGGCGGAGCGUUAAGUCAGUGGUGAAAUCCUGCAGCUUAACUGUAGACUUGCCAUUGAUGCUGGCGCGCUUGAGUGCGCUUGAAGUGGGCGGAAUGUGCCGUGUAGCGGUGAAAUGCUUAGAUAUGGCACAGAACACCAAUUGCGAAGGCAGCUCACUAAGGCGAUACUGACGCUGAGGCACGAAAGCGUGGGGAUCGAACAGGAUUAGAUACCCUGGUAGUCC
rnacentral:rRNA from 1 species